rnacentral:misc_RNA from 1 species
UGUUUAAAACUACAAAACACAAUCAUUGUCUUUGAUUCUUCCCAUGCAUUGUGGUGGGUUGGGUGUUAAAGAUAUUUCUAUUCACAAUCAAGCCUUGCUUUUCAAAUGGCUUUGGAGAUUUAAUCAACAAAGGGAUUCACUUUCGGAGCAAGUUCUUCGAUCAAAAUAUUCUUUUCAAACUAAAUGUUGUCUCUCUCUGGCUUUGGGCA